rnacentral:rRNA from 1 species
GAUYAGAUACCGUCGUAGUCCAAACUAUAAACGAUACCGACCAAGGAUGAGAGGUCGUUGUAUAUAAUAUUGACAGUGCAAGUGAUUGCGUUGUGAAUAGAUGAGGACUCCUUUCGAACUUUAGAGGGAAACCAUUGAGUGAUUAGGUUCUGGGGGGAGUACGGUCGCAAGGCUGAAACUUGAAGGAAUUGACGGAAGGGCACCACCAGGUGUGGAACCUGCGGCUUAAUUCGACUCAACACGGGGAAACUUACCAGGUCCGGACACAGGAAGGAUUGACAGAUUGAGAUUUGGGUUCUUUCUUGAUUCUGUGGGUGGUGGUGCAUGGCCGUUCUUAGUUCGUGGAACUGAUCUGUCUGCUUAAUUGCGUUAACGAACGAGACCUUAGUUUAUUUAUUAGAUUAGAAUAACAUUUGUUAUGUCUAAUAGAAAUCGUCAAUGAUUUCUUUUGCUUCUUAAAAGUACUAUUCAUAUCCAAUGGAGGGAAGUUUAAGGCAAUAACAGGUCUGUGAUGCCCUUUAGAUGUUCUGGGCUGCACGCGCGUUACACUGAAAGUCUCAACGGGUUUUUAUCGUUUUGCUUAUUUUCUAUACUUUAUGUGUAGAGAUAAGUAGAACACCCCUUGUUUUAACAAACUGGGUAAACCUUUCAACUGCUUUCGUGAUGGGGAUUGAUGAUUGUAAUUGUUCAUCAUGAACGAGGAAUACCUAGUAAACGCAAGUCAUCAACUUGCAUUGAUUCUGUCCCUGCCCUUUGUACACACCGCCCGUCGCUCCUACCGAUGAAUAUUCCGAUGAACUAUUGGGAACUGUCUCUCACGAGAUUGCCAACUCUAGUAAAUCUUAUUAUUUAGAGGAAGGAGAAGUCGUAACAAGGUAUCCGUAGGUGAACCUGCAGAAGGAUCA